UACGUAGGGUGCAAGCGUUGUCCGGAAUUAUUGGGCGUAAAGAGCUCGUAGGCGGUCUGUCGCGUCUGCUGUGAAAACUCAGGGCUUAACCCUGAGCUUGCAGUGGGUACGGGCAGACUAGAGUGCGGUAGGGGAGACUGGAAUUCCUGGUGUAGCGAUGGAAUGCGCAGAUAUCAGGAGGAACACCGGUGGCGAAGGCGGGUCUCUGGGCCGAUACUGACACUGAGAAGCGAAAGCGUGGGGAGCGAACAGG
rnacentral:rRNA from 1 species